GAUGAACGCUGGCGGCGUGCCUAAUACAUGCAAGUCGAGCGAACGGACGAGAAGCUUGCUUUUCUGAUGUUAGCGGCGGACGGGUGAGUAACACGUGGAUAACCUACCUAUAAGACUGGGAUAACUUCGGGAAACCGGAGCUAAUACCGGAUAAUAUUUUGAACCGCAUGGUUCAAAAGUGAAAGACGGUCUUGCUGUCACUUAUAGAUGGAUCCGCGCUGCAUUAGCUAGUUGGUACGGUAACGGCUUACCAAGGCAACGAUGCAUAGACGACCUGAGAGGGGGAUAGGCGACACUGGAACGGAGACACGGUCAAGACUCCUAAGGGAGGCAGCAGUAGGGAAUCUUCCGCAAUGGGCGAAAGCCUGACGGAGCAAGGGCGCGUGAGUGAUGAAGGUCUUGGGAUCGGAAAACUCUGUUAUUAGGGAAGAACAGAUGUGGAAGUAAAUGUGCAGAUAUUGACGGUACCUAAUCAGAAAGCAACGGCUAACUACGUG
rnacentral:rRNA from 1 species